rnacentral:lncRNA from 1 species
UGGAUCAUUCAGUCAUAUCACACUGCAAGCUGCAUUCAUCAAUCUUCAAUUGGAUUUCGCAUGAAACAUGUUUCCCUUUUAUGCAGAUAUGCAAUGGCAAGCCCUUCCGUGUGUUCCAAAGACAACGUCUACACCUAGCCACAGCAGCUCCCUCAUGCAGACUCCGCAAGCCAAGAGGCCAGGGAGGCAAAUGCAGGCAGCCAGCAC